GAUGAACGCUAGCGGCGGGCUUAAUACAUGCAAGUCGAGGGGUGGUAGCAAUACUACACCGGCGCACGGGUGCGUAACGCGUAUGCAAUCUACCUUUAUCUGGGGGAUAGCCCGGGGAAACCCGGAUUAAUGCCGCAUAAGUAAGUAACUCGGCAUCGAGUAGCUUUGAAAGAUUUAUCGGAUAAAGAUGAGCAUGCGUAAGAUUAGAUAGUUGGCGAGGUAACGGCUCACCAAGUCUACGAUCUUUAGGGGCUCUGAGAGGAGAAUCCCCCACACUGGCACUGAGAUACGGGCCAGACUCCUACGGGAGGCAGCAGUAGGGAAUAUUGGGCAAUGGACGCAAGUCUGACCCAGCCACGCCGCGUGCAGGAAGAAGGCCCUCUGGGUUGUAAACUGCUUUUGACUGGGAAGAAAAGAUUCCUUGCGAGGGAAGUUGACGGUACCAGCAGAAUAAGCACCGGCUAACUACGUGCCAGCCGCCGCGGUAAGAC
rnacentral:rRNA from 1 species